rnacentral:misc_RNA from 1 species
AGUAGAAAGGUAGGAGUUGUAUAGCACUAUGAAAUCCAAAACCAUUAUAUGAAAUGAAUUUGAAAAAUAAAUGGAACUAUUUUUUUGGAGAGGUGGAAGGAGCAUAAAUUUCCAGAGAAUGUGACUGUACCUUAUAACAUCUUAUUUGCUUUAAGUUAUGUGUAACUGAAGGCACAAGUACUGUGAAGGCUUGGUGUCUCAUAGAU